rnacentral:rRNA from 1 species
UGAGGAAUAUUGGGCAAUGCCCGCAAGGGUGACCCAGCAACGCCGCGUGGAGGAUGAAUGUCGUAAGAUUGUAAACUCCUGUUAGAGGGGAAGAAUAGUACCGGUUGGACCGGUAUAUGACUGUACCCUCAGAGAAAGCCCCGGCUAACUACGUGCCAGCAGCCGCGGUAAUACGUAGGGGGCAAGCGUUGUCCGGAUUUACUGGGUGUAACGGGCGCGCAGGCGGGAUAAAAAGUCAGUGGUGAAAUCCUACAGCUUAACUGUAGAACUGCCUUUGAUACUUUUAUUCUUGGGUUCGGGAGAGAGAGACGGAAUUCCAGGUGUAGUGGUGAAAUACGUAGAUAUCUGGAAGAACACCAGUUGCGAAGGCGGUCUCUUGGUCCGACACUGACGCUGAGGCGCGAAAGCGUGGGGAGCAAACA